rnacentral:rRNA from 1 species
AGUGAACGCUGGCGGUAGGCCUAGCACAUGCAAGUCGAACGGCAGCACAGUAAGAACUUGCUCUUACGGGUGGCGAGUGGCGGACGGGUGAGGAAUACAUCGGAAUCUACUUUUUCGUGGGGGAUAACGUAGGGAAACUUACGCUAAUACCGCAUACGACCUACGGGUGAAAGCAGGGGAUCUUCGGACCUUGCGCGAUUGAAUGAGCCGAUGUCGGAUUAGCUAGUUGGCGGGGUAAAGGCCCACCAAGGCGACGAUCCGUAGCUGGUCUGAGAGGAUGAUCAGCCACACUGGAACUGAGACACGGUCCAGACUCCUACGGGAGGCAGCAGUGGGGAAUAUUGGACAAUGGGCGGAAGCCUGCUCCAGCCAUACCGCGUGGGUGAAGAAGGCCUUCGUGUUGUAAAGCCCUUUUGUUGGGAAAGACAAGCAGCAGGUUAAUACCCCGCUGUUCUGACGGUACCCAAAGAAUAAGCACCGGCUAACUUCGUG